CGGCACGGGUGAGUAACACGUAUCCAACCUGCCGUCUACUCUUGGACAGCCUUCUGAAAGGAAGAUUAAUACAAGAUGGCAUCAUGAGUCCGCAUGUUCACAUGAUUAAAGGUAUUCCGGUAGACGAUGGGGAUGCGUUCCAUUAGAUAGUAAGCGGGGUAACGGCCCACCUAGUCUUCGAUGGAUAGGGGUUCUGAGAGGAAGGUCCCCCACAUUGGAACUGAGACACGGUCCAA
rnacentral:rRNA from 1 species